rnacentral:misc_RNA from 1 species
AUGAAUGACAUAUAACCUUUCUUUUCGUAUGACAGUGUACGACGUAUUACAGAUACUAUUGUAUAGCGUGUGUGAAUAAUAUGAAUAUCAAGCUUAUUUUAUAAAGCCAUUGCACAAAAUAACAAUUGUGUCUAACACAUGAAAAGUAGCAAGUGUCACUAUUUGUUUUAUUGGUUUUAUUAUUGAAAAAACGAACAACGCACGCAAUAAAUAUAUAUAUGUAGAAUGUUGCAGAGCGUUUUAAAAUCAAAAUUCGGAUAUGACAGUUUUAAAAAUGACAUUCAAAAACAAGCCACCACUGCAAUUUACAAAGGAAAGCGAGAUGUAUUCGUGUGUAUGCCAACCGGUUCUGGAAAGUCUCUCUGUUUUCAAUUACCAGCAAUAAUGAGAGAACAAAAAGUUGCGAUUGUCUUUUCACCACUCCUAGCUUUGAUGAAGAAUCAAAUAGAUUUCUUAAUAUCUAAAAAAAUAAAUGCUUGUUCCUUGAAUUCCACUACAUCAAGCAAAGAAAGAAAUACAAUAAUGGAAGAUCUUAUGUCAAAUUCUCCUAAAAUUAAAUUAUUAUAUGUCACUCCAGAAAUGGGAGCACAAAAGCAUUUUCAGGAAAUUGUAACUAAAUUGUGCAAGAAGAAAGCACUUUCUUAUUUUGUUAUUGAUGAAGCUCAUUGCUUAAGUGAAUGGGGUCAUGAUUUUAGGCCAACUUAUAGGCAAUUGGGAACGUUCAAGAAAUUGUGUCCCAAAAUACCUAUGAUUGCAUUAACAGCAACUGCUGCAAAACAAGUAAAAGAUGAUAUUCUCCAAAGUUUGCAUAUGAAAGAUGCAUUGAUUUUCUCUCAGCCAGUAUUUCGUCCUAAUCUGUAUUAUGAUGUGUGGUUUCUAGAAACAUUAGAUAAACCAUUUGUACAUCUGAAAAACUUUAUUUUAGAUGCAUUAGGACCUUCAGAUAAUUCUAUUCCCAUGCAUAAAAGAAAUUGUGGUAUCAUUUAUUGUAGAAAAAAGGAAACAACUGAAAUUGUUGCACACAAAUUGACUCUUGCUGGCAUUACAACGCUGGCAUAUCAUGGGAGUUUGAAAGCUCAGGAACGUAAUGAAGUACAAAAUAAAUGGACGACAGGUGAAGUACCUGUCAUCACAGCAACAUGCAGCUUUGGAAUGGGUGUUGACAAAGGAUCUGUUAGAUUUGUAAUUCAUUGGACAGUACCAAAGAAUAUUGCAGCAUAUUAUCAAGAAUCAGGAAGAGCUGGCAGAGAUGGCAAUCCAGCAUUUUGCAGAGUUUAUUUUAGUAAUGAAGAAUAUGGACCUAUUUCAUUUCUUAUCAAGGAGGAAAUUGCACAUAAAAAUUCAGAACUUGCAAAAAUUAAGUGGCAAGAUUUCGAAAAAAGUGUUGCAUACUGUUUAGAGACAAAAUGCCGGCACGCAGUAUUUUCCAAGUAUUUCGGGGAUUCUCCUCCGCCUUGCAGAAAUAGAUGUGACAUAUGUAAAAACAAAGACGAAGUGCAAGCAAGAAUUGCGGAGUUUGAAAUGUAUCAGAGCACAACUAAAAAAUUCCGAAAUAACAUAGGCAGUGUAACACAAAUAAACUACAACGACAACGAAAAUGAUGAAUUCGAUGAGUCAGGAGAAUCAAGAGAGAAGAUUAUAGCUGUUGAAAAGCAAGAGAGAAAAGAACUUAUUAUGAAACAGUUUGCACUUCGACGUAGUGCAUCUAAAGAGGACAAGAUAAAGCGAGAAAACCUUGAAUACGCAAAAAUAGCGCAUGUCCGUGCAGCUGAUAGUACAGAUAAAAAAAUAAAAGGCUUAACCGUUCAAGUGCGGGAACACUUUUACAAUGAAUUGAAAGUAGCAUUAUUUGAGAAUUAUCAAUAUUCUUCAAAAAAUAAUAAACAAGAACUUCAAGAGAAGGAUAUUCAUGAUAUGACUAAUAACAUAGAAUACGAAAUAUUUUCCAGUACUAAAGUACCAAAUAAGUACAAGCUUGAUAUGUCUAGAUUGAUUUCAUCGAUACGAAAAUGUACUAAUGAUAAUACUAUCUACAAAAAAAUACGUGAUUAUAGUAAAAUAGAGUGUCAUGACAUAGAAUUUAAUAAUUCUAACAAUAUAGAGACAUUUAAAGAACAAGAAUCUAAUAUAAUUAAAACUGAAUUUAACGAGAACACUUGCUUGUCAAACGAAUGUAGUAAAUCAAUUUUCCCUUCUGUCUUUAAAACUGCAUUAGAGGUUUUAAAUGAGGAAAAGCUACGAACAUUUACAUCAGACAAGAAUGAAAAGAUAUCGUUGAAAAAAUUAUGUGUUAAAAAUGUCAAAAUAAAGCAAAUUAAAAAUGAAACAUCUAUUAUUAAUUUUAAUAGUACGCAAAAAAAUACAUGUAAAAGCGAAACUCCAUUAAUGCAAAUGUCAAAUGAUUUUGUCUGUGCACGAAAAAUUUAUGAUGAUAACACAUCCAACUUUAGUACAAGUUCUUCUAAAUCAAAAGCUAAUACAAGUUUCUCUAAACCUAAAGUUCGCAGGAGUAAAACAGAUAAAGUAAAAAAACCGGAUAAAACAGUUUAUGAACAAAUUUUAGCAUCAGCACGAUCAGUAUCAAAAAAAACUACAGAUGAAAAAGAAGAUAUUUUUCUCGAUACAGAAUCAAAAGUUGACAGUGCUGGAUAUAUUAAAAGCAAAGAUGAGAUUAAGAAUAAAAAUAAAAAUAAAAGAGAUUACGAAAUCAUGGAACACCAUGAGGAUGAUAUGAACCCUGCUAAGAAAAGAAAAAUUGUACAUAAUGAAUGCAAUGAUGAAACUAAUAAUUACGUAUCUAAUAAAAAUAUCGAUAAAAAGAUUUUAGAUGACGAGUUUGAAACAGAAAUAGUUAAGGAAAGAAAUGCAGUUAUAAAUAUUAAUACUAUAAAUGAUGAUUUAUCGAUGCCCGAAAAUAAUAAAACGACAAAGGAUUUGGGAGAAGAUACCACUAAUACAAUAAAUGAUGAUUUAUCGAUGGAAAAAAAUAAAACGAGGAAGCACUUGGAAGAAGUUAAUGUAGAAUUAAAGAAGAAAGAAAAAACUGCUCAUUUAUUUAAUUUAAAACAGCACGAAAAAGAUAAAAGUAAUAAUAGACUGAAAGUACCUGCAGAUAAAGUUAUGCAAUUUAAAACAGCAGAAAUUUUAAAAUCGUAUCUAAUGAAAUAUUAUCCAUCGGAACGUCUCCCAGAUAGAGCAACAUUCUCAAAAACUUGCAGAGAAAUGCACUACAGUAUGUUAAGAAAAAAAAUAUUUGAUAAAGAAGGAAUACAUAAUUUUGUUGUAAGCUUUAUGAACCAAUCUUGAAAGAUUUUUUAUUUUAUAUCUAAUCGUAUUUCUAUUUAUUGUUAGGCAAGCAAUAUAAAAGUAAUGAAAACUUUUUCGAAAUAAAUACAUAAUCCUUUUUACUUCGUAAAGUUAUUGACAUUUGUAUUAUUCAAAAAAAACGCGGGAAUCGAUCAAUGUUACGUCACAUUUAAUACACGACUUCAUGUUGGUAAUCGUGAACAGUAAUAGACGCGUCGCGCACGAAAAAUCGUUCGGGAAAAAUCUAUAUGAAAAUUUGAUUUAAAAACGUAAUCGAAUAAUUAUUACAGUGAAAUUUUGAUGUACUUUGUGUUGCGAGUGGAGACGGAUUAAUAUUUUCCGGAUAUCGUCGAUAGUUUACGUGCGGGAAAUAAUUUUGUAUGAUGUAUUUCGUCAACGGAUGCGCAUUAUUAAGAGAGGCCGAAAAUCGUCGAGGCGGGAAUCGUGUUUGCGUCACAUUCGAUUUAUCACAUUUUUAGGUUGAUAGUCAUGAGCGAUAUAAUAGACGCGUCGCGCAAAAAUUAUUCGGUAAAGCAUCUAAGCAUCAAAUUUGAUUUGAAAAGAUAAUUAAAUAAUUAUUACAGUAGAAUUAUGUAUUUCAAGUGAAGUAAUGUUUUCUAAAUAUUAUUGAUAAUUUAAAAAUAAUUUCACGUAUAUAUUAUGUGGACAGAUGCGCAUCGUUAAAAGGUAAAUCUUGAGUAAUGGCACAAAUAAUGAUAGAAAGUAAUUAAUUGAAUAAUAAUACUAUUGAAAUACGAAAUACAAUUAUGA